AGAGUUUGAUCAUGGCUCAGGAUGAACGCUGGCGGUAUGCUUAACACAUGCAAGUCGAACGAAGCCUUUCGAGGCUUAGUGGUGGACGGGUGAGUAACGCGUGAGAAUCUGCCUUGAGGUUUGGGACAACAGCUGGAAACGGCUGCUAAUACCAAAUAUGCACAACUGUGAAAGGGGUUUUCCCCGCCUCGUGAUGAGCUCGCGUCUGAUUAGCUAGUUGGUAGAGUAAGAGCCUACCAAGGCGACGAUCAGUAACUGGUCUGAGAGGAUGACCAGUCACACUGGGACUGAGACACGGCCCAGACUCCUACGGGAGGCAGCAGUGGGGAAUUUUCCGCAAUGGGCGAAAGCCUGACGGAGCAAUACCGCGUGAGGGAGGAAGGCUCUAGGGUUGUAAACCUCUUUUCUCAGGGAAGAACAAAAUGACGGUACCUGAGGAAUAAGCAUCGGCUAACUCCGUGCCAGCAGCCGCGGUAAUACGGAGGAUGCAAGCGUUAUCCGGAUUUAUUGGGCGUAAAGCGUCCGCAGGUGGCAGUUCAAGUCUGCUGUCAAAGGUCGGGGCUCAACCCCGAACGGGCAGUGGAAACUGAACAGCUAGAGUACGGUAGGGGCAGAGGGAAUUCCCAGUGUAGCGGUGAAAUGCGUAGAGAUUGGGAAGAACACCGGUGGCGAAAGCGCUCUGCUAGGCCGAAACUGACACUCAUGGACGAAAGCUAGGGGAGCGAAUGGGAUUAGAUACCCCGGUAGUCC
rnacentral:rRNA from 1 species